UCUAUUUUUUUUCACCAGCUUCAAUUUCUAGAACUUCCAGAUAAUACGCUCCCCAACCCCCCAAAAAAGAUUGCUACUUCACAGCGUUGUGUGCUCUGCUCCCUCUCACUCAGCAGCCUGCAUGUCUCAGCACAGGGGAAGGAGGAUGCUACUGCUGCUGCCGCUUUGCCUCGGCUGUUGGGAACCAGGCCUCUCAGCUAGGGAAACUAGACCGGGAAAGAGGAGAUAACCCACUGCCGGAGUUGCCCAAGCCUUGUGGGCCGAAUAGGUCGAUCGAACUCUGGCUAAGUGCAGAACAUAUGGGAAAAGGUUUAAGGAAGGAAGAGCCGGGCGAGAGGAAUCGGAAAACUCGAGUGUCUGUCGAAAGUCAAAAAGUUACUAAUCCAGAGAAAGGGGAGUUUAAAGUAGCCUCAAACUGCCUGGAGCGAUUAUUUAAAGUUGUUUACCUAAGGACUCUGAAAGGGGAGAAAGCAUGUGAAAUAUUUUCGAUUUUUGCAAAACAGCAAAAAUGGAAGUGAGCGAAAGAAACUAAACCGGGCAGUUUGGCUUUUGUGUCACUCUUAUCCCUCCACCAGCAGCGAAUGGAGAGAGCUGGGCAGAAAAAUAAAACAAGGUUGGGAGUAAGCUCCAAUGAGAGCUGAAGAGUGGAGUAAAAUCAAAAGCUAGAAAUUGGGGGAAGGGGCUAAAGGAAGAGGCAGAAACGAGGCCGAGCAGACGAGCGGAGGAAAUAGGGGAAGUCCCUUUCAGUGUUUAAAUCAAUCAUCAUUUGCUGUUACCCAUCAAUAAAAAUGGUGUGAACUGUCCGCUGUGGUUAUUUGUCUUGGAAGGAAAUGGAAUUAGCCCGUCGCUGGUGCCCUGGGAUGCCCCGAUUUGGCCAGGUUCGGUUCUUAUUCUCUCCCCUUCCCUCCUUUGGCCCCCUUUCCUGCGCCGUAUGUGAGCCUGAGUCAAGCCACUUCGGCUUCUAAUUGAGCAUCUAGGGUUUUAAUAGAGGCCAUUGUUGGAGCAAUUAGCUAGAGACAAUAACCGGAGAAGAGCGUUUAAUUCGAUUUUAAGGCAGUCUAGGGCCUCAGACCCUUUCCAGGGUUGAGGGAAAAUUGUUU